rnacentral:rRNA from 1 species
GACGAACGCUGGCGGCGUGCUUAACACAUGCAAGUCGAACGGUAAGGCCCUUCGGGGUACACGAGUGGCGAACGGGUGAGUAGCACGUGGGUGAUCUGCCCUGCACUUCGGGAUAAGCCUGGGAAACUGGGUCGAAUACCGGAUAGGACCACUGCCUGCAUGGGUGGUGGUGGAAAGCUUUUGCGGUGUGGGAUGGGCCCGCGGCCUAUCAGCUUGUUGGUGGGGUGAUGGCCUACCAAGGCGACGACGGGUAGCCGGCCUGAGAGGGUGACCGGCCACACUGGGACUGAGAUACGGCCCAGACUCCUACGGGAGGCAGCAGUGGGGAAUAUUGCACAAUGGGCGCAAGCCUGAUGCAGCGACGCCGCGUGAGGGAUGACGGCCUUCGGGUUGUAAACCUCUUUCAGCACCGACGAAGCGCAAGUGACGGUAGGUGCAGAAGAAGGACCGGCCAACUACGUGCCAGCAGCCGCGGUAA